AUUUUCAUUCGCUGCGGGGCAGUCGCAUAUUGACGCGGACUUUCGAGCCAAGCACCUGCCAAACGACAUCGAUAUUUGGAAUCAUUUCCACCACGGCACCAUAAAAGCAAUGUCUUUAGCCUUCGUCCAACCACCACAGAAGAAGGGACCACCCCCAAAUCAAGCAUCAAUCCAAAAGGUUUGACGAAAUUUAUCUUUUUCAUUCUUUAUCUAGGUCACCGCAUUCACAACCACAAGAAUUGACUAAGUCUAAGGUUUUAAAAUAUUGAUUGCUAGGAAGAAAAAGAAUUUGAUUCAAAGACUUGUUCUGUAUUGUCAUUUUCAUAGCAGUUUUUCAACACGGGUGAAAGAUUAAAUGCGCAUGUAACGUGAGUCGUGACUGAAUAAUAGUGUGAAAUAGUCACAUACAGGUACAUGUGUAGUACAUGUCAUGUGUUUUCAUUAUUCUGUACGAGAUUUUCUCAUCACAUGGAAGAACUCGAGAGGUGUUAAUUUAAUAUCUCCAUCGCAUAUUUUCGAAUCAAUAUAAUGUAAUAAUGACGUCAUUAACUUUCUUAGAAAACCCCCAAUGGAAAGGUUAUAUACUCUCUUCUCAUUAUAUCGCGGGUUCUGUUGUAUCGCGGUAUGUUCUAAAAAAUAGGAUUCCCAUUUUUUUCCGCGAUUUUCCACAAGGAGUUCAUGCACAAACUUCAGGAUGAGUGCAAAGAAUGUUGUCAAAUAUAUCGGCAAAUAAUUUUUUCUCACAAAUAAAAAUUUUCUGGAGAGAAAGCAAGUUCAAAAGUCCACAAUGUAUCUGAUG
rnacentral:misc_RNA from 1 species